rnacentral:rRNA from 1 species
AACAUGCAAGUCGAGCGGAUGAGAGGAGCUUGCUCCUUAAUUCAGCGGCGGACGGGUGAGUAAUGCCUAGGAAUCUGCCUGGUAGUGGGGGACAACGUUUCGAAAGGAACGCUAAUACCGCAUACGUCCUACGGGAGAAAGCAGGGGACCUUCGGGCCUUGCGCUAUCAGAUGAGCCUAGGUCGGAUUAGCUAGUUGGUGAGGUAAUGGCUCACCAAGGCGACGAUCCGUAACUGGUCUGAGAGGAUGAUCAGUCACACUGGAACUGAGACACGGUCCAGACUCCUACGGGAGGCAGCAGUGGGGAAUAUUGGACAAUGGGCGAAAGCCUGAUCCAGCCAUGCCGCGUGUGUGAAGAAGGUCUUCGGAUUGUAAAGCACUUUAAGUUGGGAGGAAGGGCAGUAAAUUAAUACUUUGCUGUUUUGACGUUACCGACAGAAUAAGCACCGGCUAACUCUGUGCCAGCAGCCGCGGUAAUACAGAGGGUGCAAGCGUUAAUCGGAAUUACUGGGCGUAAAGCGCGCGUAGGUGGUUCGUUAAGUUGGAUGUGAAAUCCCCGGGCUCAACCUGGGAACUGCAUUCAAAACUGUC